rnacentral:rRNA from 1 species
GAAGGAUCAUUACAGAGUUCCUGCCCUCACGGGUAGAAACCCCACCCUUGUGUAUAUUAUAUUGUUGCUUUAGCAGGUCGCCCUCUGGGCGUCGGCCUCGGCUGACUGUGCCUGCUAGAGGACCCUAAAUUUUGAAAUACAGUGUCGUCUGAGUACUAUUUAAUAGUUAAAACUUUCAACAACGGAUCUCUUGGUUCUGGCAUCGAUGAAGAACGCAGCGAAAUGCGAUAAGUAAUGUGAAUUGCAGAAUUCAGUGAAUCAUCGAAUCUUUGAACGCACAUUGCGCCCCUUGGUAUUCCGGGGGGCAUGCCUGUUCGAGCGUCAUUUAGACCAACUCCCGCUCCGGCGGGGUCUUGGGCUGCGCCUUUGGGCGGGCCUUAAAACCAGUGGCGGUGCCCUAAGGCUCUACGCGUAGUAAUUCUUCUCGCGAUAGGGUCCUUGCGGUGUCUUGCCAGCAACCCCCAACUCUCUAGGGUUGACCUCGGAUCAGGUAGGGAUACCCGCUGAACUUAA